rnacentral:rRNA from 1 species
AUUGAACGCUGGCGGAAUGCUUUACACAUGCAAGUCGAACGGCAGCACGGGGCAACCUGGUGGCGAGUGGCGAACGGGUGAGUAAUACAUCGGAACGUGCCCAAUCGGUGGGGGAUAACGUAGCGAAAGUUACGCUAAUACCGCAUACGAUCUACGGAUGAAAGCGGGGGAUCGCAAGACCUCGCGCGAAUGGAGCGGCCGAUGUCAGAUUAGGUAGUUGGUGGGGUAAAGGCUCACCAAGCCGACGAUCUGUAGCUGGUCUGAGAGGACGACCAGCCACACUGGGACUGAGACACGGCCCAGACUCCUACGGGAGGCAGCAGUGGGGAAUUUUGGACAAUGGGCGCAAGCCUGAUCCAGCCAUUCCGCGUGCAGGAUGAAGGCCUUCGGGUUGUAAACUGUCUUUUGUACGGAAACGAAACGGUUCUCUCUAAUACAGGGGGCUAAUGACGGUACCGUAAGAAUAAGCACCGGCUAACUACGUG